rnacentral:rRNA from 1 species
UACGAAGGGGGCUAGCGUUGCUCGGAAUCACUGGGCGUAAAGGGUGCGUAGGCGGGUCUUUAAGUCAGGGGUGAAAUCCUGGAGCUCAACUCCAGAACUGCCUUCGAUACUGGCGAUCUUGAGUCCGGGAGAGGUGAGUGGAACUCCGAGUGUAGAGGUGAAAUUCGUAGAUAUUCGGAAGAACACCAGUGGCGAAGGCGGCUCACUGGCCCGGUACUGACGCUGAGGAGCGAAAGCGUGGGUAGCAAACAGG